CCAUGUAGCCUCCCGCUCCGAAUGAUUUCUCCACAAAACUUUAACAAACGGAAUAGUCUUCCUCCUCAUAAUUCGCUCUUGACGAUCCAAAAUCGCGUCGGCUUGUUCCUCACAAGUAAGAUCUUCUCGAAUCUUAUCAAACGGAUAUUGCACCAUAUGCAACGGAUGAUAAUGAUAAUGAUAACUUCUCAACACUGACACAUGAAACACAUUGUGCACGUGAGCUAGCUGUGGAGGUAAAGCUAAU
rnacentral:lncRNA from 1 species